rnacentral:rRNA from 1 species
UACGUAGGGUGCAAGCGUUGUCCGGAAUUAUUGGGCGUAAAGAGCUCGUAGGCGGUUUGUCGCGUCGAAUGUGAAAACCCGGGGCUCAACCCCGGGCCUGCAUUCGAUACGGGCAGACUAGAGUUCGGUAGGGGAGUCUGGAAUUCCUGGUGUAGCGGUGAAAUGCGCAGAUAUCAGGAGGAACACCGGUGGCGAAGGCGGGUCUCUGGGCAGUAACUGACGCUGAGGAGCGAAAGCGUGGGGAGCGACAGG